rnacentral:lncRNA from 1 species
GAAAUCUGAAAAUGCAAGUAAAUAAAGAUGUCAAGUGCAGUUUGCUAACAAUUUCCAUGCCUGGAGCAGGAAUAUGCUUGGCAUUAGAACCAUCUUCUCCCUGAAAAAUACUUGGAUGGGUACUGCCAAUGGCUUUUUUAAAAAUCACCCUCCUUUUCCUAUACUUUAUCGGCUGAAUAAACUCCAUUCUCAUCAACACCAUUUUUCGGAUGCACAUUUACUCAGGUAAAGUCUUACCAAAAUGGAGACAUUCCUCUGUACUUAGGUUUGCUUUCUAUAUCCUCAAAUAAUUUUUUACUCACUGGAUUUAUCCUUAAAUUCUCAGAAAAUUAUCUUAUUUUCCAUAUUUUACAGUUAUUGAGGUAAGAUAAUUUCAUAUUUGCUUAGGAUACUGUCUACAUUGGACUGGUUAUGGGAGUCCUUGUAUACUCAAGAAGCUUCAGCAAUUUACUCUGAAGAAGUUGAGAAUCAUAAAUGUGUUCAUUAAACCAGGCUUAAAGAUGUCUGGGGGCUGGCCCCGUGGCCGAGUGGUUAAGUUCGCGCGCUCCGCUGCAGGUGGCCCAGUGUUUCGUCAGUUCGAAUCCUGGGCGCGGACAUGGCACUGCUCAUCAGACCACGCUGAGGCAGCGUCCCACAUGCCACAACUAGAAGGACCCACAACGAAGAAUACACAACUAUGUGCCGGGGGGCUUUGGGGAGAAAAAGGAAAAAAUAAAAUCUUAAAAAAAAAAAAAAAAAGAACAAAAUGAUACAAACUUUUGUUACUGCUGCUGAACCCAUCCCAUUGUGCCAGAUGCUUCCAUAGCUGUACAUCUAAUAGUUCCUUUCCUUCACCUUUGUUACACUCUCUCAAAAUUCAGAUUCCCUAACCACGGAGUUAAGUUGUGUUGAGUUGGUUGCCAGGGGCAGAGAAAGGGAGAUUCUCUUUAUUUGAUCUUUUUAGAGGGAGUUUGAGUCCUGGCUUUCACAGAGAUUCCCAUUAGGGAGGAUUCCUCCAAACUAAAGAGAAGAAUUGGGUA